rnacentral:lncRNA from 1 species
AUUGCCUUGGGUGACUGACCCAAGAAAAUACUGGUACAAUUUAUGUCACAGAAUGUUUUGCCUAUGUUCUCAUCUAGGAGUUUUAUGGUGUCCUGUCUUAUAUUUAAGUCUUUAAGCCAUUUUGAGUUUAUUUUUUGUGUAUGGUGGGAAGGUGUAUUUUAACUUCAAUGAUUUACAUAGGGCUGUCCAACUUUCCCAACACCACUUGCUGAAGAGACUAUCUUUUCUCCGUUGUAUAUUCUUGCCUCCUUUGUUGAAGAUUAAUUCACCACAUGUGUGUGGGUUCAUUUCUUGGCUCUUGCACAAUGUUCAAUUUAAUAAAAUAAUAUUUUGCUUUUCUUAGAGCUGUAAAAGACAAUUUCUCUAAGAAUUUCUCUAAGAAACACCAAAGUGCAGAUGCGAUUAAGAUGGUGGAAUAGAAGGACUGGAGCUCAACUUCUCUCUUAAAAACAACAAAAUUUAAAACCAAAUGCUGAGCAAUCUUCAACCAAAUGGACCAGAAACUUUCAAAAAGAUACCCUACUCCAGAAGACAAAGAGGAGGCCACAUCAAGAGGUAGGAGGGGCGAUUACGUGAUAUAAGCAACCCCAUACCUCCCAGGUGGGAAGCCCCUCAGACUGGAAAGUAACUGUUUCACGAAGACUCACCUACAAGAGUGAGAAUUCUGAGCCUCACAUCAAACCCUCACGUGUGUGGGGAUCUGGCACUGGGAGAAAGAGCCCCUGGAGUAUCUGGCAUUGAAGGCCAGUGGGGCUUGUGUGCAGGAGCUCCAUGGGACUGGGGGAAACAGAAAUACCAUUCUUAAAAGAUGCACACAGACUUUCAUGUGCACUGAGUCCCAGGGCAAAGUUAAGUCUCCAUAGAAAUCUGGGUCAAACCUGACUGCAGUUCUUAGAGGAUGUCCUGGAAAAACAGGGGUGAAUGUGGCUUGUUGUGGGGGAAGGACAUUGGAAGCAAAGCUCUUGGGAAUAUUCAGCAGUGUGCCUUUCUCUGGAGGUGGCCAUUUUGGGAAAAUCUGGCCCCACCCAUCAGCCUGAGAAGGCCCAGGCCAAAGAACAAUCCAGGUGGGAUCACAGCUCUGCCCAACAGUCAACAGACUGCCUAAAGACCCCCCAGGCACACAGCCACCUUUAAUCUUACCCAGAGACAAAGCCCCACCCACCAGAGGAUAGGAAUCAGCUCUACCUAACAGUGGGCAGGUAUCAGCCCCUCUCAUCAGGAAGCCUACAGCAAGUCCCCCUCCCCCACCAACUUCAGCCACAAGGGGGGCAGACACCAGAAGUAAGAGAGGCUACAAUUCUAUUAUCUGUAAAAAGGUCACCACACCAAAAACCUAUAAAAAUGAAAAGACAGAGAACUAUAACUCAGAUGAGGGAGAAAGAAAAAAAACCCAGAAAAACAGCUAAGUGAUCAGGAUGUUCUCAGCCUCCAGGAAAAAGACUUUAGACUGUUGAUGCUGAAGAUGAUGCAAGACAUUGGAAAUAAACUGGAGGCAAAGAUGGAUAAUUUACAGGAAACACUGAGCAAAGAGAUACAAGAUAUAAAACUUAAACAAGAAGAGAUGCAGGGAGUUCCCAUCAUGGUACAGUGGUUAACGAAUCCAACUAGGAACCAUGAGGUUUCAAUCCCUGCCCUUGCUCAGUGGGUUAAGGAUCCAGCGUUGCUGUGAGCUGUGGUAUAGGCUGCAGACACGGCUCAGAUCCUGCGUUGCUGUGGCUCUGGCAUAGGCCAGCAGCUACAGCUCCAAUUAGACCCCUAGCCUGGGAACCUCCACAUGGCGCAGGUGCAGCCCUAGAAAAAACAAAAAGAAAAAAGAAAGAAAGAAAGAAAGAAAAAUAAAAUAAAAUAAAAUCUCUUGAUUCUCAGCACUCUAAAGAGUAAUGAGAAAAUGUGGGGACUUUUAAAUAAACUAUGAAGGACUAAAGUGGGAAGGGGCAGGGUAGAGGCUGCUUUAUAUCAAGUGGAAGCCCACAGAAGAGUAGCAUUUGAUUUCUGGGCUGUAUAUUCACAUGGGGAAAAAAGUUUAAUGGAGUUCUGUUAAACUGGAGUUUUAGAAAAUGAAACUAGAAUACAGACUUUAUCUUAGUUAACAAAGAACCUAAGAGAAAACAUUCUAGCCUUUGAUUCUAGAUUGUAAAGAAGAAUAUACUGGAAAGUCCAUGGAAAAUGGUAAAAACUUUUAUUUUCAUACUAAUUUGUAUCUAGUUUUUACUCUGAGUUUUAUUCAAUGUUAGAAAAUAGUUUAUGUACCUUAAAUAGGUCAUUAUUUUACUCAAGUACACAUUAAUGAAAAGAGGUAUAUUGCAGAGAAAGAAGAGAGAAGAAAAAGGCAAAAAAAAAAAAAAAAAUGAUCCCAAAGACACACUUUGGAGAAGCUCUAGCUGUUAAUCACAGACCUAAGCAACAAAGCCAUUCAAAAACAUAUCUGUAUUUCUCACACAAAUGAAUUCUGAAAAAAGAGCAAAGGCAGUCAGUCAGGGGCCACAUAUUUGGGCUUCUAAUGUUUUUAAUAGUAUCAUUUAAAUUCAUAUGUUCAAUUACAACUUGCAUCAUCCUAAAAAUUAUUUGAAAUAGCAUCAUGUCA